rnacentral:piRNA from 1 species
CGGGACUCUUGUUUGCAGAGAUG